AGCUCAUCUUCUGGCAUCACUUCACUGAUAGAGUAAGGCGAGAGCAGCAUGGUCGAUGCCCUGCCUGUGGGCUCAUCUUCUGGCAUCACUGCCCCAGAAGUAUUUGGGAAGGCCUCAUUGCCAGGUGAAUGUACUACCAUGGCUGUCUACAUGAAUGUUGAGGCUGACUAGCACCAUGGUGCAAGUGGAGUGACCGAUGAAAUCUCCAAAGUGAAGAGGCAGGUUGCAUCAUGAGUAGCACAGACCUUCAUAAGAAAGCUGUGGGUAUGCCUCAGGAGAAGCAGCCCAUGAUGCUGAUGAGAAGAGCGCCCUCGCCUCCUUUAACCUGGAGAGAAGGGAGAUGGGGAACAAGAUCCUAUGGGACUUCCCAGGGAUGAUUCAUGAGAAUGUCAAACUCAGAUAGACGCCAGUCUUCACCUCCAUCACUGAGGAAGAACAGUUUCUAAGAUUGCCUGAGGGAUCCUCGUCAGAACCACAAUCAUUGAUUCACAAAGGCAAGGAAAGGACUCAAUCUUUCCAGAGAUGCAGUUCCUUGCUUCCACCUUAGUGAUGGAGCAAGUCUCUCUGCAUUUGUACACUACUCAAGGGAUCAAAGGAUCAUACAUAGCGAUUAAUAAUUUAAGCAAAUAGUAUUCACACCACAAAAAUAUGAGUGUCAUUUAGUUUGCCUAUUUUCUGGCAUCAAAACAAGAAACUUCCACAACAAAGUACUGAAGUCUCAUGAGACUGAAAAAUCGCUUUGGUAAGCACCGGGUUCUGGUCUCCUUUACGGCCCUGAAAAUGAUGUAUAAAAAGUCAAGUUUGAACCCAGUAAUGUGAGGGCACUGUUUAUGAGUACAUCCUGGUAAUAUGUGAGGGCGCUAUUUGUGAUUCUCAAUCACAGAAAUGAGGCACUUUGAGGAUGCAUGUGUCUCAGCAUAAAAGAUUACACAUAACUGUCGAGACUUUUUUUUUCAGUUAAAUAAUGCAGUGUCUGGCAUGUAUCUGUUUGCAAAUUGUCUCCCAAAUCUUGUAUUUUUAUAAUUAUCUAUAAAAUUGAUGAUUGAUACCAAAAAUCAAAUUUGUGGUUGUCAGGACAUUAAAUAAAACAGCUUCACAGUUUUCCAAAACAUCUUCA